rnacentral:rRNA from 1 species
CAGUCGCCGCGGGAACACCAGCACCUCGAGUGGUCAGGAGGUUUAUUGGGCCUAAAGCAUCCGUAGCCGGUUGCAUAAGUUUUCGGUUAAAUCUAUGCGCUUAACGUAUAGGCCGCCGAAAAUACUGUGCAGCUAGGGAGUGGGAGAGGUACACGGUACUCGAUAGGAAGGGGUAAAAUCCUUUGAUCUAUUGAUGACCACCUGUGGCGAAGGCGGUGUACCAGAACACGUUCGACGGUGAGGGAUGAAAGCUGGGGGAGCAAACCGGAUUAGAUACCCCCGUAGUCCCUGUCUCUUAUAC